CUAGCUGUAAACGAUGGAUACUAGGUGUGGGAGGUAUCGACCCCUUCUGUGCCGCAGCUAACGCAUUAAGUAUCCCGCCUGGGGAGUACGGUCGCAAGGCUGAAACUCGAAAGGAAUUGACGGGGGCCCGCACAAGCGGUGGAGCAUGUGGUUUAAUUCGACGCAACGCGAAGAACCUUACCGGGGCUUGACAUUAUCUUGCCCGUCUAAGAAAUUAGAUCUUCUUCCUUUCGGGGAAGACAGGAUAACAGGUGGUGC
rnacentral:rRNA from 1 species